rnacentral:rRNA from 1 species
AGUGAACGCUGGCGGCGUGCCUAAUACAUGCAAGUCGAACGGAGUGGCGCACGGUUGAGUAAUAUAUAUCUAAUCUGCCCCUGGCUGGAGGACAACAGUUAGAAAUGACUGCUAAAACCCCAUAGCAUGGGAUGAGACUAUAACGUAUCAGCUAGUCUGUGGGGUAACUGCCUACCUAGGCUAUGACGCGUAACUGUGCUGAGAGGAUGAUCAGUCAACUUUGAACUGAGGCACGGUUCAAACUCCUUCGUGAGGGAGCAGUAGGGGAUAUUGCGCAAUGGGCGUAUCCCUGACGCAGCAUCUGCUCGUGGAGGAUUACACUUUGGGUAGCGUAUACUCCUUUUGUUAGGGAAGCGGUACCUAACGAAUAAGCACCGGCUAACUCCGUGCCAGCAGCCGCGGUAAUUC